UACGUAGGGUGCAAGCGUUGUCCGGAAUUAUUGGGCGUAAAGGGUGCGUAGGCGGUUCCGCAAGUCCUGUGUGAAUCUCGGCUCAACUCGAAGUCUGCACGGAACUGCGGGCUUGAGUGUGGGAGAGGUGAGUGGAAUUCCGGUGUAGCGGUGAAAUGCGUAGAUAUCGGAGGAACACCUGUGGCGAAGCGGCUCACUGACCAUACGUGACGCUGAUGCACGAAAGCUGGGGGAGCAAACAGG
rnacentral:rRNA from 1 species